AUUGAACGCUGGCGGCAGGCUUAACACAUGCAAGUCGAGCGAGCGGCGGACGGGUGAGUAAUGUCUGGGAAACUGCCUGAUGGAGGGGGAUAACUACUGGAAACGGUCGCUAAUACCGCAUACCAUCAGAUGUGCCCAGAUGGGAUUAGCUAGGAGGUGGGGUAAUGGCUCACCAAGGCGACGAUCCCUAGCUGGUCUGAGAGGAUGACGAGCCACACUGGAACUGAGACACGUUCCCGACUCCUACGGGAGGCAGCGGUGGGGAAGAUUGCACAAUGGGCGAAAGAGUGAUGCAGCCAUGACGAGGGUGUGAAGAAGGCCUUCGGGUGGUAAAGUACUUGCAGCGGGGAGGCGUUACCCGCAGAAGAAGCACCGGCUAACUCCGUGCCAGCAGCCGCAGUAAUAC
rnacentral:rRNA from 1 species